AUUGAACGCUGGCGGCAUGCCUUACACAUGCAAGUCGAACGGCAGCAUAGGAGCUUGCUCCUGAUGGCGAGUGGCGAACGGGUGAGUAAUAUAUCGGAACGUGCCCUAGAGUGGGGGAUAACUAGUCGAAAGACUAGCUAAUACCGCAUACGAUCUACGGAUGAAAGUGGGGGAUCGCAAGACCUCAUGCUCCUGGAGCGGCCGAUAUCUGAUUAGCUAGUUGGGGGGGUAAAAGCGCACCAAGGCGACGAUCAGUAGCUGGUCUGAGAGGACGACCAGCCACACUGGGACUGGGACACGGCCCAGACUCCUACGGGAGGCAGCAGUGGGGAAUUUUGGACAAUGGGGGCAACCCUGAUCCAGCAAUGCCGCGUGAGUGAAGAAGGCCUUCGGGUUGUAAAGCUCUUUUGUCAGGGAAGAAACGGUUCUGGAUAAUACCUGGGACUAAUGACGGUACCUGAAGAAUAAGCACCGGCUAACUACGUGCCAGCCGCCGCCGUAA
rnacentral:rRNA from 1 species